rnacentral:lncRNA from 1 species
AUUAACACCAUGAAAACUAGACUUCAGGCAAGAUUCAAUCCUUGUGUGCUCAACCAAUCCUUUUGUUCCUCUGUCCUCCGAUUGUCGCGCUGCACAAACUUCGAGUGCAAAUUGGUUGUUGGGAGGCUGUUGCAACAAAUAAUGUUGUUUAGCUCUUACUGCUGCGACCAUAGUGACUAGAAAUGAAUUUUCUUUCAAUGAGUAUUGUUUGCUGC